CGCGUAGGCGGUUGGAUAAGUCAGCUGUGAAAACCACGGGCUUAACUCGUGGCCUGCAGUUGAGACUGUCUGGCUUGAGUGUGGGAGAGGAGAGUGGAAUUCCUGGUGUAGCGGUGAAAUGCGUAGAUAUCAGGAGGAACACCGGUGGCGAAGGCGGCUCUCUGGACCACAACUGACGCUGAGGCGCGAAGCUAGGGGAGCAAACA
rnacentral:rRNA from 1 species